rnacentral:rRNA from 1 species
AUUGAACGCUGGCGGCAGGCCUAACACAUGCAAGUCGAGCGGUAACAGAGGAAAGCUUGCUUUCCUGCUGACGAGCGGCGGACGGGUGAGUAAUGCUUGGGGAGCUGCCUGAUAGCGGGGGACAACCACUGGAAACGGUGGCUAAUACCGCAUAAUGUCUACGGACCAAAGCAGGGGAUCUUUCGGGACCUUGCGCUAUCAGAUGCACCCAAGUGAGAUUAGCUAGUUGGUAAGGUAAAGGCUUACCAAGGCGACGAUCUCUAGCUGGUUUGAGAGGAUGAUCAGCCACACUGGGACUGAGACACGGCCCAGACUCCUACGGGAGGCAGCACUGGGGAAUAUUGCACAAUGGGGGAAACCCUGAUGCAGCCAUGCCGCGUGUGUGAAGAAGCCUUCGGGUUGUAAAGCACUUUCAGUUGUGAGGAAAGGGUAAUCGCUAAUAUCGGUUAUCUGUGACGUUAGCAACCGAAGAAGCACCGGCUAACUCCGUUGC